AUUGAACGCUGGCGGCAGGCCUAACACAUGCAAGUCGAGCGGAUGAAGGGAGCUUGCUCCUGGAUUCAGCGGCGGACGGGUGAGUAAUGCCUAGGAAUCUGCCUGGUAGUGGGGGAUAACGUCCGGAAACGGGCGCUAAUACCGCCUACGUCCUGAGGGAGAAAGUGGGGGAUCUUCGGACCUCACGCUAUCAGAUAAGCCUAGGUCGGAUUAGCUAGUUGGUGGGGUAAAGGCCUACCAAGGCGACGAUCCGCAACUGGUCUGAGAGGAUGAUCAGUCACACUGGAACUGAGACACGGUCCAGACUCCUACGGGAGGCAGCAUUGGGGAAUAUUGGACAAUGGGCGAAAGCCUGAUCCAGCCAUGCCGCGUGUGUGAAGAAGGUCUUCGGAUUUUAAAGCACUUUAAGUUGGGAGGAAGGGCAGUAAGUUAAUACCUUGCUGUUUUGACGUUACCAACAGAAUAAGCACCGGCUAACUUCGUG
rnacentral:rRNA from 1 species